ACAAAAAAAUAAAUAAUUCAUUUUGUUUUGGUCAUAAUUUUUGAUCGGCUAUUAUCUAUUACAUUUGACCAUCAAGUAUCUCCAGGAAUCAAUUGUUGGGACAAUUUGUAAAUUGCAUCAUCCUGUACCAGUGUAGGAAAGAGAAUGGCAUUCGAUUUAUGUAGUGAGAGUAAGGGUGUCAAGGCGAUGGAUGGUCAUGUAGCAUGUCUGACUUCAUGCUGCCCUCUGACUGAUGACCCUUUUUACUGGAACAUGAACUUUCUCCAGCUGGUUCGGUGUUGGGCAGUCUUCUUUGCUUCCUUCCAGGAUGAUGCUGUUUCCUUGAGUUUUGCCUCCAAAGACCUUCUCCAGCUGUUCCUGGGUACAACAUGUCACAAC